AUUUGUGGGUGAUUUGUUCGCUUGAAGAACGGCGACCACGCAACAAGACUAGACGAUAUGAGGAAGUUUAAGGAUCGUGACUAAAGGUCAAGGGGAACAACGCACAAAUCUGAGGCGUUAUGCCGUCUGCAGAAGUUGCAUAAGUUUAGAACAAGGACAUGUACUGAUCAGCAUGUUAUUAGUAAACUAUGUUUCUAGGAAGAACAUUAAAACUACUUUUUACUCCACAAAAUACGUAACCAAAUGCAGAUUUAUUUUAGUCAGCUUCAGGAGUAGCUGGUUCAAUGAACUCAAAUCUUCAUUCUUAAUCGAUCUCAUCUGCAGUCUGUACUUAACCAACAACUCAUUAAAGUAUGCAAAAGUAUGACUACGUGCUUCAAGACUGAAA